rnacentral:rRNA from 1 species
GACGAACGCUGGCGGCGUGCUUAACACAUGCAAGUCGAACGGAAAGGCCCUGCUUUUGUGGGGUGCUCGAGUGGCGAACGGGUGAGUAACACGUGAGUAACCUGCCCUUGACUUUGGGAUAACUUCAGGAAACUGGGGCUAAUACCGGAUAGGAGCUCCUGCUGCAUGGUGGGGGUUGGAAAGUUUCGGCGGUUGGGGAUGGACUCGCGGCUUAUCAGCUUGUUGGUGGGGUAGGGGCUUACCAAGGCUUUGACGGGUAGCCGGCCUGAGAGGGUGGCCGGCCACAUUGGGACUGAGAUACGGCCCAGACUCCUACGGGAGGCAGCAGUGGGGAAUAUUGCACAAUGGGCGGAAGCCUGAUGCAGCAACGCCGCGUGCGGGAUGACGGCCUUCGGGUUGUAAACCGCUUUCGCCUGUGACGAAGCGGGAGUGACGGUAAUGGGUAAAGAAGCACCGGCUAACUACGUG